rnacentral:rRNA from 1 species
ACCAGACUCCUACGGGAGGCAGCAGUGAGGAAUAUUGGUCAAUGGCCGAGAGGCUGAACCAGCCAAGUCGCGUGAGGGAAGACGGCCCUACGGGUUGUAAACCUCUUUUGUCGGGGAGCAAAGAGAGUCACGUGUGACUCAUUGAGAGUACCCGAAGAAAAAGCAUCGGCUAACUACGUGCCAGCAGCCGCGGUAAUACGUAGGUGGCAAGCGUUGUCCGGAAUUACUGGGUGUAAAGGGAGCGUAGGCGGGAAUGCAAGUUGAAUGUAUAAACGGUCGGCUCAACCGGCCGAAGCGUUCAAAACUGCAGUUCUUGAGUGGAGUAGAGGCAGGCGGAAUUCCUAGUGUAGCGGUGAAAUGCGUAGAUAUUAGGAGGAACACCAGUGGCGAAGGCGGCCUGCUGGGCUUUAACUGACGCUGAGGCUCGAAAGCGUGGGUAGCAAACAGGAUUAGAUACCCGGGUA